rnacentral:rRNA from 1 species
UACGAAGGGUGCAAGCGUUACUCGGAAUUACUGGGCGUAAAGCGUGCGCAGGCGGUUUUGUAAGUCUGACGUGAAAUCCCCGGGCUCAACCUGGGAAUUGCGUUGGAGACUGCAAGGCUAGAAUCUGGCAGAGGGGGGGUAGAAUUCCACGUGUAGCAGUGAAAUGCGUAGAGAUGUGGAGGAACACCGAUGGCGAAGGCAGCCCCCUGGGUCAAGAUGACGCUCAUGCACGAAAGCGUGGGGAGCAAACGAGGAU